rnacentral:misc_RNA from 1 species
AUAAGAUGGCAAUCAUCUCUGGAAGCAUGUUAUAGAUUAUUAUAUGCGUGUGUGUGUGUUUUAUAUACGGUCAAACAAAGGAAAAGGAGCAAAAACAAGAAGUAAUUAUUCUGAGUCAUACUGCUGCAAUGCUCUAAUUUACCAUGGCUACAUUUUUCAUUAAAUGAAAACAAGUAUAUCUCAUUCAGGUACACUGCUGUGGUGUUCCUGUUUAUUGCAAAUCAGGUUUCCCUUAUGUUUUUCAUUUGUUUCCUCAACCUUGAUAUGCCGCAUUUUGAAUACUUCUCAAGUUUCUGUUUCUUUUGUGGUAUACAUAAUGAUACCUAACUUCAUCAUAAAACCUUGACAGGCGAGUUUUUGUUGGAGAUGUUGU